rnacentral:rRNA from 1 species
GAUGAACGCUAGCUACAGGCUUAACACAUGCAAGUCGAGGGGAAACGGCAUUAAGUGCUUGCACUUUUUGGACGUCGACCGGCGCACGGGUGAGUAACGCGUAUCCAACCUUCCCAUGACUAUGGGAUAACCUGCCGAAAGGCAGACUAAUACCUUAUGGUCUUCACUGACGGCAUCAGAUGUGAAGUAAAGAUUUAUCGGUUAUGGAUGGGGAUGCGUCUGAUUAGCUUGUUGGCGGGGUAACGGCCCACCAAGGCAACGAUCAGUAGGGGUUCUGAGAGGAAGGUCCCCCACAUUGGAACUGAGACACGGUCCAAACUCCUACGGGAGGCAGCAGUGAGGAAUAUUGGUCAAUGGGCGAGAGCCUGAACCAGCCAAGUAGCGUGCAGGAAGACGGCCCUAUGGGUUGUAAACUGCUUUUGUAUGGGGAUAAAGUCAAUCACGUGUGAUUGUUUGCAGGUACCAUACGAAUAAGGACCGGCUAAUUCCGUGCCAGCAGCCGCGGUAAUACGGAAGGUCCGGGCGUUAUCCGGAUUUAUUGGGUUUAAAGGGAGCGUAGGCUGGAGAUUAAGUGUGUUGUGAAAUGUAGACGCUCAACGUCUGACUUGCAGCGCAUACUGGUUUCCUUGAGUACGCACAACGUUGGCGGAAUUCGUCGUGUAGCGGUGAAAUGCUUAGAUAUGACGAAGAACUCCGAUUGCGAAGGCAGCUGACGGGAGCGCAACUGACGCUGAAGCUCGAAGGUGCGGGUAUCGAACAGG